GCACCCGUAGCUCAACUGGAUAGAGCGUAUGACUACGGAUCAUAAGGUUAGGGGUUCAAGUCCUCUCGGGUGCGCCA
rnacentral:tRNA from 1 species